rnacentral:rRNA from 1 species
CCUACGGGAGGCAGCAGUGAGGAAUAUUGGUCAAUGGACGAGAGUCUGAACCAGCCAAGUAGCGUGAAGGAUGACUGCCCUAUGGGUUGUAAACUUCUUUUAUAUGGGAAUAAAACGUUCCACGUGUGGGAUUUUGUAUGUACCAUAUGAAUAAGGAUCGGCUAACUCCGUGCCAGCAGCCGCGGUAAUACGGAGGAUCCGAGCGUUAUCCGGAUUUAUUGGGUUUAAAGGGAGCGUAGGUGGAUUGUUAAGUCAGUUGUGAAAGUUUGCGGCUCAACCGUAAAAUUGCAGUUGAAACUGGCAGUCUUGAGUACAGUAGAGGUGGGCGGAAUUCGUGGUGUAGCGGUGAAAUGCUUAGAUAUCAUGAAGAACUCCGAUUGCGAAGGCAGUUCACUGGACUGCAACUGACACUGAGGCUCGAAAGUGUGGGUAUCAAACAGGAUUAGAUACCCCGGUAGUC